rnacentral:lncRNA from 1 species
CUUUUUCUUCUCUUUUCAUUUUUUUAUUGUUUUUAAUUUCUUUUUUAUUUUAGCAACAACUUCAAACGUCUGUAACUAUACCAUUAUAAUUCGGACUCGCAAACGGCUUUUGCCUGUGCGUUCGUGAUCUCGAUAUCUAUUCAACAAUAUAAAUUGUGACCUUGAAUGGUCUACGGAUUUUAAAUAAUUAAUUUCCCAAAAAAUAAUAUAAAAUCUCUAUAAUACCAAUACGUAGAUUAUAAUAAUGAAAUCCAGGAACAUGAUUUCACAUUCUUCCCCCCCUUAAAAAAUUUCAUCCUCAAAAUUUUAGUAUCAAUUCCAUAUCCACCACUGCCACAAUUCAACUGAAUAAAAAUUUUGAAAUGGCAUUUACUCUUUAAUUAUAAUCGAAUUUAAUUAACAUCAAGCUCGACAACAUCGAAUCACAACUCACAAAUACAAUUAUCAUCGUCUCAGCACAACUUCACCACCAAUCUUUGCACAAUCACAAAGAAUGACACUACUAACAAGAAUUCAUCAAUAUACUCAUAAUCCUGGCAACCAUACCAACAAAUUUUGUAAUUACAAGCAUUUCCCAUUAUUCCAUUUAUGGUGAAUAAGAUCAUAACCUCAGUCUACGAGUUUAUUCAACUCAAAACAAAUAAAUUAACGGAUAGAUCAUCUUGAUUCUCACCUAUAUACUCAGAUUCCCAACUACAUUUAUUGGCAGAAUAAAUAUUAGAAAUUCUAGCCAUACACAUUGGCAAAAUAUUUAUCAGACAUCAAGCCACAGUCUUCAUAACUUACAAUAAUUACUAAAUUAUCAAAUCACAUUUACUAUUGGUUAGACAAAUACUAACAUAAUUGUAAACACGGAAAAUUCCUGAAACGAAAGAGACAAGAACGACGCGCACAAACAAAUAUUUGUAUUUAGAUGAUUUUGGGUUACAAUCUCUCUCUCAUUUGAUCCUCUGAUUCGAUCUCCGUAAGGUGUUGAUUGGUGGGUGUUUCGUUGAUCCAAGGACCGUCGAGGCUUAAUCUUGGAUGAACAGUUGGAAGUUUCUUCAAAGGGUCGUGGGCUUGAUCUUUGAAGGUGGAUUUGAGCGGAUCUUCAAGGGCUUUUGGGCUUGAUCUUGAAGAAACGGUUGGAUGUGUGGAUUUGUCGACGUUGUUGAUCCAAAGGGCCGUUGGGGCUUGAUCUUGGAUGAACGGAUGAUGAACGAUGGUGCUUUCUUCAAGGGCCGUCGGGGCUUGAUCUUGAAUUGGUGGAUGGUUGAUCCAAGGGCCGUCGGGGCUUGAUCUUGGAAGAACGAUAAACGAAGAACGAAGAACACUUUCUUCAAGGGCCGUCGGGGCUUGAUCUUGAAUUGGUGGAUGAUUGUUGAUCCAAAGGGCCGUUGGGGCUUGAUCUUGGAAGAACGAUGAACGAAUAACACUCUUCAAGGGCCGUCGGGGCUUGAUCUUGGAAGAACGAUGAACGAAGAACGACGAAGGCUUUCUUGAUUCUUCGGGAACCUGGAUGCUUGAGAGCUUCGGAGUUUCAGAGCUUCAGAGCUUCAAGGUGUAAUAUGAAUUCGUUCCUCAAAUGAAUGAAAUUGGCUUCUAUUUAUAGAAUUUUCCAAGGCCUAAUUUUGAAUAUAAUAUUCCAGAUGAAAUAAGUCGUUUCUGCCAGGUGUUGACACGUGUCCUAUUUGAUGACUUUUCCAACUCAUUUCAAUUUUCGUUGAGUCACACGCUACGUGUAAAAUUUAUGUAAUACAUGAGCGUUGACACUUUGAUUUAUCGGUCAACAUUUAUUUACCGAAAUUUCGAUGUCUACAAAUGCCCCCACUUCAAGGCACGUCGUAUACAUGUGCUUGUCACGUGUAGGAGAUGCGUUUUGAAGUCCCUUACUGUAGAUGUCGAUCCAAGGGCCGUCGAGGCUUGAUCUUGAAUUCGGCUGGAGAUUUCUUCAAGGGCCGUUGAGGCUUGAUCUUGAAUUGGGCUUGAGAUUUCUUCAAGGGCCGUUGAGGCUUGUUCUUGAAUUUUUUGUUUGAAAUUUCUUCAAGGGCCUUCGAGACUUGAUCUUGAAGGUUGAAAUUGGACCACAAGGAGCUUCAUGUGGUAGAUGAUCUUUGGCUUUGGUAAGUGGAUGAAUCGGCACGUACUUUUGUUGUGCUUGUUGACUUUCCACAGCUUUGAUCUUGAACUGGGUUGGAGGAUUUUCUGGAUUCCUCCAAUUGUUGAUUUUCCACAGCUUAUUCUUGAACUAGGUUUUGAUUCAAGGGUGGUAGACACUUAAUCUUGAAUCAGACUUGUGAUUUCUUCCAGGGCCGUCGAGGCUUGAUUUUGAAUUUGGCUGGAAACUUCUUCAAGGGCCGUUGAGGCUUGAUUCUUGAAGGUUGACUCGGACACAUGGCAAGCAGGCACGAGGUAAAGGUGACAACCUGUUUCUUUGUUCAAUCUUUCUAAUUCACACCUGAGCAGUUUGGUCAACGGUAUGAUCUUCAAGAUUGAUGAACUCUUCUUCCAGUUGGUGACUUGAUCUUUAAGGAUUCGAUUCAAGGGUGGUGAAUCGGCACGUGCAGCCCACGACGCCUAGUAAGUCGACCCAAGAAUUUGAGGGUCAAAACAAGUUCAUCGUCCUCAGGCAGAUGCGACAUCUUCUCGAGUUCUUCAUCUCAGACUCUUUCUGCUGAGUUGAUUGUGCAUGCUGCAUUCUUCUCUGCUUGUUUCUUCAGGCAGAUAUGGCAGCUUCUUGAGUUCCUCAGUUCGGACUCCUUCUGCUGAGUUGACCGUGCAGACCGCAUUCUUCUCUGCUUGUUCCUUCUGCACCUUGUCUCCACAUGCUGCAAGGUAUCAUUUUCACUUGCCUUAUCUGUUCUUCAGGCAGAUGUGGCAGCUUCUUUGAAAGUACAGCAGCAGUGCGAAACGAGUACUCGAGAGCAGUGCUAGGUAGGCAAUCAGGGAAGGGUUCCAAGCAGUCGGUUCCUUACCCGAGUUUGAGUGGAAGUUCCGACAUAUUGUUUUCUUUAUCCUUGUCUUUGUAGGUAAGAACAAGGACAAAGGAAAGGACAGGGAGAACGCAUGAUAUGAGAUACUCUUGCUUUCUACCCUGGUGAUAUGAGAUAUUUUUGCUUUGGAGUCAUUGGCUUGCCGAGGUACCCCAAGGAAUAAGGAACACUGAGUGACUCGAGAGGCUUCGUUGGGAAGACAUUCUCAGAGAUGAAGAAAGGCUCUGUAUGUCUGCCUUGCUAUGGAAGGUGAAGGUGGACAGUUAUAGGAAGUUCUUUAAUACCUGUAGAGGUACUAUUCUUUUACUCGUGUCGGCAACCGUUGGAUGAUUGAACAGUAAACUUCACGUGCUUUCUCCUUCACCCAAAAAUCUUUCGACAAAUUGUCCGUGAUUUGCGCAAAGUUGAGUGUGCAUAUGACAGGUGAUGACACGGCUGAAAAAGACUGGCGCCUCUUCGAUAUCUGGGAUCGGCGCUUCGACAAAUUGCCCGUGAUUUUCGCAAAGCUGAGUUUGCGUGUGACGGGUGCCGACGCUUCUGGAAAAGCAAGAUGCUUCUCCGAUUUCUGAGCUUGCCUCUUCGAUUUUUUGAAUGGCCUCUUCGAAUUCUGAGCUCGCCUCUUCGAUCUCUGAAAUCCCGUCGAGUGCUGAUUUUUUUUAUAGAGGCAUGCUGUUCGUUUCAAAGCACACUUGAAUUUUUCUUGUGAAAACUCCCUUCUUGCACUUCUAAGAUCUUGAUUCGUCCGACCUCUUCUUUCUUCAACACUUUGAAAAUGUCAGGACCCUCCGAUCGUCGUUUUGACUUGAAUCUUGGUGAAGAGGCAGUCCCGCCUUCUCCAGACAACAUAUAUGGCGCCCAUCAUUCAUAUCCCCUACUGGUCCUCUUACCGUUGGGGAUUCGGUGAUGAAGAAUGAUAUGACCGCUGCGGUGGUGGCCCGAAACCUUGUAACUCCCAGAGAUAACAGACUACUUUCCAAACGGUCUGAUGAGUUGGCUGUUAAGGAUUCUCUGGCUCUCAGUGUGCAGUGUGCAGGUUCUGUGUCUAAUAUGGCCCAACGUCUAUUUGCUCGAACCCGUCAAGUUGAAUCAUUGGCGGCUGAAGUGAUGAAUCUCAAACAGGAGAUUAGAGGGCUCAAGCAAGAGAAUAAACAGCUGCAUAAGCUCGCACAUAGCUACGCGACAAACAUGAAGAGGAAGAUUGACCAGAUGCAGGAAUCUGAUGGUCAGAUUUUACUUGAUCAUCAGAGGUUUGUGGGUUUGUUCCAGCAGCAUUUGCCUUCAUCUUCUGGGGCUGUACCGCGUAAUGAAGCUCCAAAUGAUCAACCUUGGCUCCUCUUCUUCCUGGAGUUCCGCCGAGUGGUGAGGCUUCAAACAGUCAACCUCCAGCGCCUCUCAUUUCUGGCGCUCUGCCGAGUGGUGAGGCGGCACCUGAUCGUCCUUGAAGAUCCCCUCUUGUAAAUUUGAUUUGAUUUGAUUUGUUUUUUUUUUUUUUUUUUUUUUUUUUUUUUUUUUUUUUUGUAAGGUAUGUAUAAUGCAAAUUUAUGCAAAAUUUCCAGAAAAAUAAAUAAAAUGGACUUUAUUUCUCUCAAUGCAAUUUUUUUUUUUUUUUUUUUUUUUUUUUUUUUUUUUUUUGCUGUAGUGCUAUGGACAUAUUAUAUAAUACACAUCCACACACAUGCGCAUACACACACAUCCACCUUUUUUUCUUUUGCUUUUCGGUGGUGUUCAGAUCCACCAUCCCCAAAUUUUCCUUUAUUUUAUUUAUUUAUUUAUGUUUUUUUUUAUUUCUGCACAUGGUGUUGUCCACCAUCACAAAACCCUUUUUUUUUUUGCAUGGUGCUAGACACCAAGAUCUUUUUUUUUUAUUUUUUUUUGCAUGGUGUUGUCCACCAAGCUUCCACCAUCUCCUUUAUAUAUAUAUAUAUAUAUAUAUAUAUAUAUAUAUAUAUAUUUUAUAUAAAUUGAUGAUGGGAGAGGAGUUUGCAUCACAGGCUGCAGAGUUCCUUAAUGAGCUUGAAGGGCGCUGCACGGUGGAGAGCUGGAGUCGCUGGAGCGAGGCUCAAGGCUGGCGUCGAGCAUCUGUGAAGCUGCUAGUUGCUUGGUGCCAUGGUGGAGAGUCGGCGACGACGGCGUUGCGGAGAAGGCUAAACACCGGGAAAGAUAAAGCUCACACGAGAGUGCCUCACAGAUCUUACAGCUAGAGAGAGGGAGUCAGCCAGCUCUAACCUCCUUGCCAAAUUGCAGUACUGCCUCUUGACCAUAACCUCGUAGUCGGAGAUCGAAGGAUCCCAUGAUGAAGGGCAGAAACGGGUGCAGACGGGAUGAGUGGUGCAGCCUUGGGCGGAGAAGUUGCAGCGGAGGUGCGGCGUUGGGUGAUGAGGAUGACGGAGGAGCAUGAUGAAGCUUGGGCGAGCUUGAGGGCAAGCCAAUGCUUGCAGACGAGGGAGCAGACGUCGCGGCUCACAUUUUGUGGGAAGCGAAAGGAUCACGAUGGAUACAGGACGAUCGCAACCGUGUCACGGAGGUUGUUAGUGAAAGAAGAAAAGGCUGGCAGAAGAGGACGAGGGAGCUGGGGUGAGUCUCGACCACUUAGUGGAGCUGCCAGAGCCGAUGUCUUCGAUGGCGGCACUAAUGGCUGAGAUCUUGGUGCCUCUCUGUUAGUACCCUUCACUCCAAGCAGGUUCAGACAAGCUGCGAUAACGAUGUAAGCUGUGUACCACGUCCAACCGUACCAACCUUAAUGGAAGACAUGGUGACAGACACGUGAAGGUCUUGUCUACCGUUGAUGGGUUCCAUCAUGGUAAUGUAACGAGAUCUCUCCACAUUCUGAGUUGGGUCUUGGUAGGUGGCGAUGUAGGCCGAGAAUGGCUGGGAGAAGAAGAUGAUGCAUGUGCCGUGGGGAAUGACACCUUUCCAGGUAGAGUUACAAACGGGGCAGACGAGGCUGUCAUGAGGAAAGCUCGAGGGAUCCAAAUCGCGAUCCGGAUUCGAACAGAACCCACACUUUUCAGCACACUCAUCGACUCUCUGCAAUGAAAGUUUUACUUGAACUUCUGGUUGCGCAGCUGUGGUUAUUGUUCUCACGGUGGAGAAGAAGAAAGUGAACUGAUCUUUACCGCUGCAAGGAGGAUGUCUGCUUCGAGGGAGAAAGGACCUGGAGCUCCGGGGCAGACAUAGACCCGCUUCUGUACUUCUUUGCUCGUCCGCUGCUUCAGCUUCCACGGCAAGUUGUGGCUCCGCCAGUCGAGCUACAAGUUCUGGUCUCGCUGAAAGCCUUUGCUGCAGAUCUCGUCCACCAAACGGUUCGUAGCAAGCAGAGUCGUCGGCGACGGCGCGAUCACCUCCGCUUCGAGAUUUGGCAUUCUGGGAAGGUUUUACUACCUCUAGCAAGAAGGUCUUGGUUCGAGGUAGAAAGAGGAGGAUGCGUCGUUUGUGCGGCGCAGUAAACACCAAUCGCCGGAGAACUACCCCAGAGUCGUGGGUUUGAAUCUUCCCAACUCUCGGCUUCUGGGUUCCAUUCCUGCCAACCUCGGUAUGGUCGAACACCUUCAAAAUCUCGAUCUUUCCCACAAUCCCCUCAACGAGUCGCUUCCACAGUCGCUCUUCAACGCCAUGGUGCUUCGGGUUCUUGAUUUGUUGUACAAUUUGAUCUCUUGCGAGUUGCCCAGCGGGUUCGAAUCUGAUCAACGGCCCUCUGCCAUCUGAUUUAGGCGCAUGCGAGACGUUUGGAGAUAGUGGCGGCGGAGAUGAAGGCUUGGAUCCAAGUGAGGAUGGGCUUUGAGAGCCGGACCCGGAUUUGUAGCUGGUGGACUUGGGUGUCACUUGGGCCUGGAUGGCCUCCUUUUGAUAGCUUUUGAUAGGCUUGCUGCUGAUGCAUAUAUAUAUAUAUAUAUAUAUAUAUAUAUAUAUGUAUGUAUAUGUAUGUAAAAGAAAUCUUUUUUUUUUUUUUUUUUUUUUUUUUUGUAAUAAAAUUAACUCUAUUUAAUAAACAUUUUUUUUUUUAAUUUUGAUGUGACUGAACUUGAAAUUGAAUAUUCAAGCUGCCUACGUACCCUUCCAAAGAAGGAGAUCAAGUCAAAACGUAGUUCAAAAUACAUACAUAUAUUUGGUAUUUUUUUUGUGCCGUUUGCAGUUUUAACUCAUGCAGGCAAUGAGUGUUGGUGCCAUGUUGCAGUUUCAGCUCGUGCAGGCAAGGAGCGUUGGUGUCGUUUGCAGUUUCAACUCGUGCAGACAAGGAGCAUUUGGUGUCGUGUUGCAGUUUCAGCUCGUGCAGACAAGGAGCGUUGGUGUUGCCUUUUAUGCUCGUGCAGACCAGGAGCAUUGUGCCAUGCAGUUUAGGCUCGUGCAGGCGAGGAGCCUCGUGUCCUGCAGUUUAGGCUCGUGCGGACAAGGAGCUUUGGUGAAUUUUGUCAAGCAAUUUCCGGGAGAGGCGUUCCUCACAAUCUUCAUAGCAAGGAGCCUUUGACCGAGUGAUUGAAGAAGUCUUCGGGCAAGAAAUCACGCAUCGUGAUGGGGAUGGACGAUCUAUAUGUCGAAAUUUCAUCAUCUUCAACACGUUCACGUUGCUUCGAAGGUUGACAAGAGCUGCUUUGCCCUCUUUCCGAUUGGCGAACAUGUGGAGGAGACGUAUGCUUCUUGUGCAAUUUCUUAGGAGUGACUUGAGUCCAUCCUUCAACUUUGCUUGUCUUGGAGGAUGCCCCCAGCGGUUGAGGUGAAAACUUUGAGUCGGAAGAGCCGGAAGUGAAAGUGGUAUAGUUUGACUUCACCACAUCGUCAAGAUCUAGCUCGAUGAUUCCUUUCUGAGCCAGCUUCAUGAUGAGAUCUUUCAGCACGAAGCACUUUUCUGUCGGAUGACUGAUGAAGCGGUGGAAUUUACAGUAUCUUGGACUGUCAGUACGAUUCAUCUCUUCUGGCCGUCUGCACUCAGGCAAGCCGAUCACCUUCUUUUCCAGCAAGUCUUCUAACAUGGCAACCACAUCAGAGUCGGGGAAUGGAUAAGUUUUCUCCUCAAGCUCCUUCAAAGUGCGUCUACGCAUCUCUUGAUCACGAAAGCCUUCGGCUUGAAUCGCCUUGCCUCGUGUGGAGAUUUUGACGGGAGCUGUGUUGACCGUCAUCGCUUCCUUGGUGGGUUUCCAUGCAACCUUUUCCACCUUUGUCCCAAGAACUUUGUCGUUCUUGUAGUCGGCGAUCGGUUCUUUCUUCCCAUGAUGGGCGAUGCUCAACUCCAUGUCAUGGGCGCGAGUGGCCAAUUCCUCAAAGGUCCGCGGUUUAAUGCCUUGAAGGAUGUAUUGCAAACCCCAUUGCAUGCCUUGGAUGCACAUCUCGAUUGAAGAGGUUUCCGAGAGCCUGUCUUUACAGUCGAGGCUUAGAGUGCGCCAUCUGUUGAUGUAGUCAAUGACUGGCUCGUCCUUCCACUGCUUUGUGCUCGUUAGCUCUAGCAUGCUCACAGUGCGGCGGGUACUAUAGAAGCGGUUGAGGAAUUCCCGCUCUAACUGCUCCCAGCUGUUGAUGGACUCAGGCUCUAGGUCUGUGUACCACUCAAAGGCGUUUCCUUUCAGCGAGCGCACACAAACUGCUUGGCGAGGUAAGCCUCCCUUCGGUUCCCCUGCGUUGUUGCAAGUUUCAACGAAAUGGUGCAACGUGCUGUUUCGGGUUUCCCUUUUCCAUCAAAUUGCAUUGCAUGAACUUUGGUGGUUGAUAACCCCUUGGCAUCCUUUAGGGCAUCAAUCUUCUUUGAAUAGGGCUUCGAGUACAACCAAGGAGGUAUUUGAGCUCCCUUCGUACUGUGCCUUGAUGGUAUUGGUGAUCAUCUCCUUGCAGCUGCUGGAUAGAAAGAGAUGCCAUGAGUGCCGCUGCUUGGUCUGGCUCGGGCUUCGCAUCGUUUUUCUCCACCUGAGGCUCUUCUUCUUCAUCUUCUUCUCUUUAGUGGAUUCUCUGGGUCGGGUCCUGUGCGCCUCCAAUCGGCUGACGAGUGCAGCAAUUUGCAAGUCUUUUUCUUCCACAGUUCGGGUUAGCCUUGCGAUUGCUUCAUUCAUCUGAGCCAGUUGUUCUUCAACGGAGUUAACGCCAAUGGUCAUGACUGUGCGACCAAUAGACGUGCACUUUCCUUUAGACAUCCAGGAUGCUGAUGAAGAACGUCGUUGGCUGCUUUGGGAUGUCAUCUUGGUGUGCCCCAACAUCAUGCUUUGGUGCCUCCAGCGAGGCUCAGGUUGAUGACAUAGGCUCACACCUUGGGAUGCUCCCCUUGCUCUUUUAGCAGAGGCACCAAUUUUGAAGCUCUUGGCCAUGCUUCGAGGAGUCGUUGAUGCGCCAAAUGGAUUGUCCAGUUUGCGGCAGGACGCUGCUUAGGAUCCUUCCCUGCAGUGGUUGCGGGAACAGAUUGAGCCUUCCUUGAUGCCAUUAAUUUUGGAAGUGUGCUUGGAUUUCCUUGAACGGAGAAAAGAGAUGAGAGGCAGAGAUUGGUCCCACCGGAGCGUGCCAAUUUGUUAAACACGGAAAAUUCCUGAAACGAAAGAGACAAGAACAACGUGCACAAACAAAUAUUUGUAUUUGAUGAUUUUGGGUUACAAUCUCUCUCUCAUUUGAUCCUCUGAUUCGAUCUCCGUAAGGUGUUGAUUGGUGGGUGUUUCGAUUGAUCCAAGGGACCGUCGAGGCUUAAUCUUGGAUGAACAGUUGGAAGUUUCUUCAAAGGGUCGUGGGCUUGAUCUUUGAAGGUGGAUUUUGAGCGGAUCUUCAAGGGCUUUUGGGCUUGAUCUUGAAGAAACGGUUGGAUGUGUGGAUUUGUCGACGUUGUUGAUCCAAAGGGCCGUUGGGGCUUGAUCUUGGAUGAACGGAUGAUGAACGAUGGUGCUUUCUUCAAGGGCCGUCGGGGCUUGAUCUUGAAUUGGUGGAUGGUUGAUCCAAGGGCCGUCGGGGCUUGAUCUUGGAAGAACGAUAAACGAAGAACGAAGAACACUUUCUUCAAGGGCCGUCGGGGCUUGAUCUUGAAUUGGUGGAUGAUUGUUGAUCCAAAGGGCCGUUGGGGCUUGAUCUUGGAAGAACGAUGAACGAAUAACACUUUCUUCAAGGGCCGUCGGGGCUUGAUCUUGGAAGAACGAUGAACGAAGAACGACGAAGGCUUUCUUGAUUCUUC